UGAUCCCCCUCCCUGUCUGAUUUGUUGGAUCCCAGGACAACCGUCCCUGGAGAGUAGAUGUAUAUGGACCCUGAAUCAAACACCAACAAGCACAAACAUUAUCAGAUGAAACUAUUGAAACAGGUGACAUAAAUGUAUAUAUAUUAUGCACAGUAAAUGCUGAUGUAAAACCUGGUGGACUUAGCAGUGUAAUAAAUUAACAAUAUGACAGGAGAGGAAGUGAAAAGCUGGCAUCACUCAGCAGCAUAUGCUUCUGUUUUUGUAUGCAUGAUUCUGGCUUCCUGUAUCCUCACUAAAUUAACCUCUGACCCUGAUUUAAAGUAUGCACUGCACUGGUGCUACUGUUUCUUGGCAGGGAAACGUUAACAGGAAGUUCAAACUAGAAGAAGUAUGUCUCAACUCACGGCCAAAGAAAACAACUGGAACGGAGGGAUCUACUGAGACAUUCUGCAUGCCCCCUGGAGGUUGUGACCCUGUACCCUCCCGUCUAGGAUCUCCCCCAGUCUCCCUCCCCAGAAGAUGCUGGGCCUCCAGUGACCUCCCCCUACACCCCACAAAGUAACCAAUCAGCAGCAGAGUGACCCCUAGGAGCCCAACUAUCAGCAGCAGCAAAGGGAGACUGGGAGGGCUCUGUCCAGAGGCUGGGACUGGGAG